GUGUAGAAGUUGAGCAAGGGAUCUCAUGAGAAUAGACUUUGGGAGUGUUGAACAAAAAGGGAGUAUUUCAUCUUAAAUUGCCUCUGUUUUGUCCAAACUAUUUCUGUAUAUAGCAUGUCCUUGCUUAGCAUUAUUUGAAGUGUUGAUUCUGAUAUGAGAGUUUAUGUAAACUAGAAUUAACCACUCUGAUUUCUGAAUGGGUUUGUUUAAGCUCGGAUCACAAUUCUCUGAUUACUGCCUUCUGUUCUUUUAAAUUGCUGCAUAAUUCUGAUUGUGAAUUUCCUUUCUUUUUCACUUGCAAAUGAUGAUUCUGAAUUGGAAUUGUUUUGUACUAAGGCCUUGAAUUGAAACAUUUUCUUCCCUGGUUAAAAAUAUCAUUUCAAUUUUAUUGGGAAAGCAGUUUCCGAUUUCAGUUUUAUCCAGAGUGAUUGACUACAU
rnacentral:lncRNA from 1 species